rnacentral:rRNA from 1 species
ACACUCCUGCGGGAGGCAGCAGUGGGGAAUAUUGGACAAUGGGCGCAAGCCUGAUCCAGCCAUGCCGCGUGAGUGAUGAAGGCCCUAGGGUUGUAAAGCUCUUUCACCGGUGAAGAUAAUGACGGUAACCGGAGAAGAAGCCCCGGCUAACUUCGUGCCAGCAGCCGCGGUAAUACGAAGGGGGCUAGCGUUGUUCGGAUUUACUGGGCGUAAAGCGCACGUAGGCGGACUAUUAAGUCAGGGGUGAAAUCCCGGGGCUCAACCCCGGAACUGCCUUUGAUACUGGUAGUCUUGAGUUCGAGAGAGGUGAGUGGAAUUCCGAGUGUAGAGGUGAAAUUCGUAGAUAUUCGGAGGAACACCAGUGGCGAAGGCGGCUCACUGGCUCGAUACUGACGCUGAGGUGCGAAAGCGUGGGGAGCAAACAGGAUUAGAAACCCAGGUAGUCCCAUGA